AACGAACGCUGGCGGCAGGCCUAACACAUGCAAGUCGAACGUGAAGCUGGAGCUUGCUCCAGUGGAAAGUGGCAGACGGGUGAGUAACGCGUGGGAAUUUACCCAGUGGUAUGGGAUAACUUCGGGAAACCGGAGCUAAUACCGUAUACGCCCUUCGGGGGAAAGAUUUAUCGCCAUUGGAUGAGCCCGCGUCGGAUUAGCUAGUUGGUGAGGUAAUGGCUCACCAAGGCGACGAUCCGUAGCUGGUCUGAGAGGAUGAUCAGCCACACUGGGACUGAGACACGGCCCAGACUCCUACGGGAGGCAGCAGUGGGGAAUAUUGGACAAUGGGGGAAACCCUGAUCCAGCCAUGCCGCGUGAGUGAAGAAGGCCCUAGGGUUGUAAAGCUCUUUCAGUCGUGAAGAUAAUGACGGUAACGACAGAAGAAGCCCCGGCUAACUCCGUG
rnacentral:rRNA from 1 species